UGCCUUUUGGUUGGGGACAACAGCAUGGAAACGGCUGCUAAUACCCAAUGUGCCUAACCGGUAAAAGCUUUAGUGCCAGAAGAUGAGCUCGCGAUCUGAUUAGCUAGUUGGUAGUGUAAUGGACUACCAAGGCGACGAUCAGUAGCUGGUCUGAGAGGAUGAUCAGCCACACUGGGACUGAGACACGGCCCAGACUCCUACGGGAGGCAGCAGUGGGGAAUUUUCCGCAAUGGGCGAAAGCCUGACGGAGCAAGACCGCGUGAGGCGAGGAAGGCCUACUGGUUGUAAACCUCUUUUGAUAGGGAAGAACACAAUGACGGUACCUAUCGAAUCAGCCUCGGCUAACUCCGUGCCAGCAGCCGCGGUAAUACGGAGGAGGCAAGCGUUAUCCGGAAUUAUUGGGCGUAAAGCGUCCGUAGGUGGUUAGUCAAGUCAGUUGUUAAAGCGUGGAGCUUAACUCCAUAAGGGCAAUUGAAACUGAUUAGCUAGAGUGCGAUAGGGGCAAGGGGAAUUCCCAGUGUAGCGGUGAAAUGCGUAGAUAUUGGGAAGAACAUCGGUGGCGAAAGCGCCUUGCUGGGUCUGCACUCAUAUCUCACGAUUACGAGUAGACGAACGACA
rnacentral:rRNA from 1 species